AGCCACAGACCCUGGUGUGGUGUAAUUGGCCUCAAUAGCAACUAAUGCCCUGGUGUGGUGUAAGUGGCCUCAGCCAGCAGCCACAGGCCCUGGUGUGGUGUAAGUGGCCUGAGCAAGAGCCACAGGCCCUGGUGUGGUGUAAGUGGCCUCAGCCAGCAGCCACAGGCCCUGGUGUGGUGUAAGUGGCCUCAGAAGCAAAUAAGGCCGUGGUGUGGUGUAUGUGGCCUCAGCCAGCAGCCACAGGCCCUGGUGUGGUGUAAGUGGCCUCAAUAGCAACUAAGGCCCUGGUGUGGUGUAAGUGGCCUCAGCCAGCAGCCACAGGCCCUGGUGUGGUGUAAGUGGCCUCAGCCAGCAGCCACAGGCCCUGGUGUGGUGUAAGUGGCCUCAGCCAGCAGCCACAGGCCCUGAUGUGGUGUAAGUGGCCCCAGCCGGUCACUCAGGCCCUGGUGUGGUGUAGGUGGCAUCAGCUAGCAGCACAAGACAUUGGAAAACAGCCAAAAGCAAUGUCGUUAAUGUGCCCUCAUUAAUGGGCAGCUGCUUUUGGUCUUUUAAUACACCCCUUCUCUGGAUCAAAAGCGGUUCAAUGACAUGAAAAUGAAAGGCUUACAGCACCAGGUAUUCCCAGGUAGUCUCCCAUCCAAGUACUAACCAAGCCCAGCCCUGCUUAGCUUCCGAGAUCAGACGAGGUCGGGCGUGCUCAGGGUGGUAUGGCCGUAAGCUGCUGGCCCCAGCACAAUGUCUCAAUUUAUGGAUUCAACUGAUUAGGUGGCAAGUACCUGAAGUUACGAAGACAAUCCUUUAACCAUACCUGCAUGUUUGCAUAAUACCCUAACCCAAAGGCUCAGUUUAGCAUUUAUCUAACAGCACAGGCCCUGGAUUGUUGAAGAUGGCCUCAGGAACCAGCACAGGGCCUGGUGUGUUGUACAUGGCCACAGCUAGCAGCACAGGGCCUGGUUUGGUGAAGAUGGCCUCGGCCAGAAGCGCAGGACCUGGUGUGAUGUGAGUGGCCUGAGCAAGAGCCACAGGCCCUGGUGUGGUGUAAGUGGCCUCAGCCAGAAGCCACAGGCACUGGUGUGGUGUAAGUGGCCUCAGCCAGCAGCCACAGGCCCUGGUGUGGUGUAAGUGGCCUCAAUAGCAACUAAGGCCCUGGUGUGGUGUAAGUGGCCUCAGCCAGCAGCCACAGGCCCUGGUGUGGUGUAAGUGGCCUCAGCCAGCAGCCACAGGCCCUGGUGUGGUGUAAGUGGCCUCAGCCAGCAGCCACAGGCCCUGGUGUGGUGUAAGUGGCCUCAGCCAGCAGCCACAGGCCCUGGUGUGGUGUAAGUGGCCUCAGCCAGAGCCACAGGCCCUGGUGUGGUGUAAGUGGCCUCAAUAGCAACUAAUGCCCUGGUGUGGUGUAAGUGGCCUCAGCCAGCAGCCACAGGCCCUGGUGUGGUGUAAGUGGCCUCAGAAGCAAAUAAGGCCGUGGUGUGGUGUAAGUGGCCUCAGCCAGUGCCACAGGCCCUGGUGUGGUGUAAGUGGCCUGAGCAAGAGCCACAGGCCCUGGUGUGGUGUAAGUGGCCUCAGCCAGCAGCCACAGGCCCUGGUGUGGUGUAAGUGGCCUCAGCCAGCAGCCACAGGCCCUGGUGUGGUGUAAGUGGCCUCAGCCAGCAGCCACAGGCCCUGGUGUGGUGUAAGUGGCCUGAGCAAGAGCCACAGACCCUGGUGUGGUGUAAUUGGCCUCAAUAGCAACUAAUGCCCUGGUGUGGUGUAAGUGGCCUCAGCCAGCAGCCACAGGCCCUGGUGUGGUGUAAGUGUGCUGUUGGAUAAAUGCUAAACUGGCUAAACUGAGCCUUUGGGUUAGGGUAUUAUGCUGCGUUCGGUGUGGGAGGCCGCGCCUCGUCCCAUCGCUUCAAUUCCAGCGGUCAGCUUAGGGGGGGUUUGAACAGCUGGUUCCGCUCUCUUAUUUCUCCGAUAAGUCAGGGCCAAGCCAGCUCCGAUCAGCAAGAACCCUGUUAUCAUGGUUCCGAAUAGGUAAAAGUUAGCUUCAUACCUGAGAGAUGGUACCUUCAAAUUCGUCCUCCAUGGUGCUUCUAUCACUAAAACAAUCCGCUGCUGUACUCAUGAUCACAUGACUUAGAUGAUUCUGAUUGGCUGCUCAAAUGCUCAUUAGGGGUGGAGCAUUUUUAUAACAUUAGUUACCAUAGGGCUUUGGAGCGUGAUGUAACGGGGUGGGCGUGGAAAGGAUUUUGGCCUGAUGCGCCAUUUUCGUGGUCAAAAUAUAUGGCGUUAUUUUUGUGCCACUAUUCUGAGCGCACGUAAAAAAAAUUUUGAACCGUCUGAGCUAGUGAUGGCCAAAUGAAGCUUUCUGAAGCACUGAAGCUUGUAUUGAAAAACGGUUCACUACUCGAAGCUUUUCAACACAGUCCUCUCUGGUGACAUCUGGUGGCCAAAAAUAUGAAGAGCAGCUUGAAUCCACAAAAUAAAACCAACCGCUUCAUUAUGAUUGCCCACACUACAGAGUGGAAUCCUGUCUGAUAUUGGGCCUCCGUUGUGUUGCUUUGAACGUGUAUUUUUUGGUGGUUAAAAUGUGUUUUAUUCGUUUAAUAAAUAGUUUUGACCAGUAAACUCUCCUUGUUUAAACAUGCACCAUGGUGUGGUCUUUCUUUGCUUGUGACUUCUUGAUGUUGGUAAAUACAAUAAUUGAAAAAUACCGCGUUACAUAUAUAUACAUAUAAUAAUGUAAAACACAUUAUGGAGUAUGCUUCUGCUGUGAGGUCUUGCCUCCAUGCAGGUAUGCAAUUAAUCGCCGGAGGGGUGUAUUUAUAAAUAAUAUUAUAUUAAGGAAAUUUUCCCAGACAUAUUUUUGACCUGGGGGUAGAAUUGAUUGUGAAAUGGAAAAGGAAAAUGCUUAUGAACUUGCAAAUUAAAAACAUGAUGCAUUGACGGUAACCCUUUUUCAUUUUUAUUUAAAAAGAGAAUUUGUUCUAGUGUGCGAUGGCCG
ensembl:lncRNA